rnacentral:ncRNA from 2 species
GUCUUAUCAAGAGUGGUGGAGGGACUGGCCCUAUGAAACCCGGCAACCGAAAUAUUGUUUAUCUCAAUAUUUAUAUGGUGCUAAUUCCAGCAGCAGAGUAGCUGAAAGAUGAGAG